CCAAACACCCAACUUGGUCGGUUAGAGACCAAGAAUUCUGGGUGACACAGAGAAUUCUGGGUGAGAAUUCUGGGUUAACACAGAAUCUGCCAGAGACCAUCCUGCUCUCUGCAAAGCACGGCACGGACAGCUCUGACUGCAGCCUCCCUAAUCACCACACACAACUGCUUUCCCACAGAACUCCUUUAAAAUCCAAAACGACCUUCUUUAUUUCUGACAGAAAAAGGCAAAAAGCAGAGCACGUAAGAGCUGUACCACUCCGACCACACUGGGGAGUAAAGCGAUACCAGCUAAGAAAUAUCAGCUGAUCUCCUGCAGCACAGCCACCGCCACGUUCUGCACUUCUCAAAGUUCGCUCAGCUUUUCAUCUAACCUAGAGAGGUAAGAAAAUCUGCUCUGCCAUCAGAGGCUCACAUACUCUAGAAAUAACAGCAGUUUGCAUCAUGAAUUAUCUAACACUAUUUACCACUCGAGGAAAAGAAAAUCUAUCCUGUUUGGUGCUGUGCCAUUUGGCCACCAGACUCCAGAAUUUUAAUGUCUGUUAUCUCUGCAAUGGAGAUAACACAACGCUGGUCUCAGAUAUCUGCCUCGAAGGUGGUUUCCUUACCUCAACACAAGACAUCUUGUGUUAUAUAAGUCUCUGGUCACAUGCAUGACAUGUUUUCCAAGGGAAAAAAAGGCCCACAAAAAAACUAGGAAACUCACUACUGAAAACAAAGAAGGUUGAUGGAACUUACCACCAACACCUAUAUGAAUGCCAUAGCACUUUUUCUUAUAAAAUUCACAAAACUGCAAAAUGGCCACCAAAAAAAAGUCCCCUAACAGGAAACACUGACACCUUUUCAAACAAGUCUGACAGUUCAAUAAGGAGAACACAAUCCUAUGACCCACAGAACCAGGCAAAAUACAAGUAUGAACAGGAGAACACCGAGUAAGAUUGUUGAUUCAAGUGAUGCUAUGUGUUAUGUGUGACAGAUUAAAAUGAAAAAUCCAAUUUGCUUCACAUGGCUAAUACUAUAUUCUGAAGGCCAAAUCACUCAAAAAGGUAGAAGCUAGCAAUUAGUGAAUGUCAAUUUGUGUUCCCCUCCCAAAAAAGGAGGCUUGAUAAAAGUUUGAAGAAAAUAAUAGAAAGAACACCUGUAUUACUGCAACCAUUUCAUCCAAAGAGAAUCCAAACACGUUCAUCAGCUAAGCUUCAUCUUUGUCAGGACAAGAAAACCUUGUAACCAGAGCUGAAUGAAGCCAUACAAUAACUUAACAAGUGAUGAACACAACCUCCCAACACUUUCAAGACAGUCUUUACCCAUCAUUCCUGCUGAUGUCUCUUCCUAUGCUUGUGUUCUGCACAGAGCAGAAAACAGACAACAAUGAACACCAGGCAACUCCAAAUUUUGCUGAAGUUUUAACACUGUUCUAUUUCAAAAGGCUCACACAGUCAGUUACUGUACUGUCCUUGAUAAAGACCCAAACCAUUUAAGCAGAACUCCCCCCAUCCUACUCUCUGAAGAGUACUUGCAGCAUAACUUUGAUUAGCCAAAGCUCCCAGGGGACAAAUGGAAGCAGAGGUAAGUGGGGGCGCAGCCAGAGGUCUUCUGAGAAUAAUAGAAGUGAAAGGAGAGGAAACGAACUCCACAAAGAACUGUUGGCUCAGCUCAGCCCUAAAGUUUCCCUAUUCCUCAAUGGAGCAUUCAUGAAAUAAAAUAAGCUUCUUUAA